rnacentral:rRNA from 1 species
AACGAACGCUGGCGGCAUGCCUAACACAUGCAAGUCGAACGAGACCUUCGGGUCUAGUGGCGCACGGGUGCGUAACGCGUGGGAACCUGCCCUUAGGUUCGGAAUAACUCCCCGAAAGGGGUGCUAAUACCGGAUAAUGUCUUCGGUCCAAAGAUUUAUCGCCUUUGGAUGGGCCCGCGUUGGAUUAGCUAGUUGGUAGGGUAAAAGCCUACCAAGGCGACGAUCCAUAGCUGGUCUGAGAGGAUGAUCAGCCACACUGGGACUGAGACACGGCCCAGACUCCUACGGGAGGCAGCAGUGGGGAAUAUUGGACAAUGGGCGAAAGCCUGAUCCAGCAAUGCCGCGUGAGUGAUGAAGGCCUUAGGGUUGUAAAGCUCUUUUACCCGGGAUGAUAAUGACAUUACCGGGAGAAUAAGCUCCGGCUAACUCCGUG